GAGCGCAGUGCCAGUGAGCGUCCUGCUGUGUGUGCCGAGCGCUUCCACAACGUUGCCACACUGUUCCUUGUCAUGAGACUCUGAGGGCUGAUUACUGUAAGCCCUCCUAUUUUCGAUCUUCAGAUCAGGUUGAUUGGCUGCGCGCUGUGUCUGGAUGGAGGCAGGUUGGAUUUAAUGUCUUGCACCGUUAAUCCGCCUUUAAGUACUAUGCCCCCCCAACACACACACACACACACACACACGAAACCCCCUCCUGUGCGUCACGUACGCACGGACAGGUUGGUGUAGCUCCGCCAGAAGUGCCAGUGGUUCGGAUAUCUUUUUUAAGGUUUUGGAUAAAACAUGGGAUGUUCUGUACAUCCUGUUCUGGCCUGGUUUGUUCAGAGGUGUAGAGGAUCAUGAUCAUCUCCACUUGGCCACUGAACCUGUGACCAUAGUGUAUUGCUUAACGUGCUGUUCAAUUGUUUGGUUUUUUGUUUGUUUCCUGUUUUUAUUUUUAUUUUUACCAGGAAUGAUGCUUCUGAAUCAGCUUGUCUAUAUGGAAUAAGCUAAGUACAUUUUGGAUAAACCGUUGGGAGGAACAUGCCGUAACCAGCUGUCAGACGGGCUGAAUUGGACAACUCCACCAACAGCUGCGCUCAUGAGGUUGUAUACCUGAGGUUAAGGGGGAACAUUUUUACCAGCAGGGUUGGAUACUCCUCAGGAGAGGCCCGCAGGACUUUAUAAAAUGCAUGAUGCCAGACCUUCUCCAUGUCACCCCAGUUUGUGAGGGUGCCAUGCUUGAUGAGAUACCUCAAGGUUAUAGUUUCUUUUUUGCUCUGGCUCUCAUAUCCAACAUAUGAGUCCUUCUGGCACAUACCAACCGUGACUCCCAGAAAAUGACAAGCAUGGAAAAUGUACUGCAUGGAGUGAAUACAUUUGUGUCCUUGUGGUGUAAAAAAAAAAAA